UAGGGUGAAAUCAUAAAUGAUAUUUCAUUUACAAUGAAAAUUAGUCUUUUAAGACCAUCUUUA
rnacentral:tRNA from 1 species